UUCAUUUGAGUUGACAAAAAAACACAAACACCCCUUUUACAAAAACCUCCUUUUGUGAAAUUGCAUCAAACCAACCAGGCGCUUGGACAAUAAGCUGGGGUACCUCUCUGCUCAGUGCUUUUUUGCACGUCACCUCCUACAGACCUUGGGUUGUUUGAUUCUAUCACUGCAGAUGGUCAAAUUCCUCCGUGUACCAUGUCCUUUUGGGAUCCACUGGCUAACACAUGUCAACAUGACUUAGGUGUCCAAUAUCCAAGUUCCUCAUCAAGUAGGCCAACUGCAUAGAUGCAUUGGUUGAAGAUUCAGGCUGGUCCACUUGUUAGGUGGGCCAUGCAUGCAUUGAGUAUGAAUUGGUGGAUGACAUGCAAACAAGCUAUCACUUCCAAUAUUUUCAUAGACAAGAUAUGCUUUAUUUAUUUGGGAGAUAGAACGUCUCGUAAUAAUAGUCUUCAGUAGUUUGGCAAAGGAAGGUGGUAUUGAUACUUAAAUGCCUUCUCUUUUGGUAUGUGUGGUCCAUUUGCUCAGACUGUCUAUUUAUUUAUUUUAUGCCAAUGCAUCUAUGCGGUGGGGCCUACUUGGUAUGCAUCAUAGAUCCCUUGCACAUGUGCCUUUUGGGGACAUGUAAGCCAAGAGUCGUCCUUUAGCAAGUACUCCAAAUGACUAGUCCUGCUAGCCAUGAAUGUAACUGGGUGAAGCCCCGACCGAAACAUAUCCAUGUUGUGCCCCUCCCCAGGAGCUUAGAGACCCCAUGUCCAUACCCAGCCCAGCCAGCUAAGUGGGCUAUACCUGUAUGUUGAAUCAGUUAUCCCUUGAUUUUAAUAGUGUGGCCCACUUGAUGGUAGGAUGAGCAUGAUUUUUGAGCCAGGUGAGAUAUGGCGUUCUAAGCUGAUUUAGGAGAGAAAAGGCCUGAGGCAGAUGGGUUCCAGAUAUUUUCAUAUUCAACACUCAAUAUGGGAUUCAGACGCUUCUUAUUUCACUCUAAGCUCUGUGAAGUUGAUGGAGGCAUGUCUUAGCUGCCAUUGGAAAUGACUUGUUUUGGUGCAGAUUCCUAUACCACAAUUCAUAAACGGGUUGGUUUUUAUCGAAUUUUCCUCAAAUGUUACCACUGACAAGUCGUGGAUUGUACCACAAAUCAAUCUUCCUUCGCAGCCAAUGAUACAAACAAUGUUUCCUUUAUGACAUCCCUAAGCUUUAGAACAGAUUUCCAUCUUGUAGACACUAUAAAGUUGGGUUGGACAAUCCAAAAAGUCCCUUAAAAUAUUUUACAAAAACUCAUUAUUGUUAGGUGGUUGGCUAGAUGAUGAUUAUUUUUCAGGUCUUUGACAACACAAGCAACGUUCCAAUUUUAAUUCCAAGACUACUAACUUUUUUAAGGUCAAUUUAUUCAUAGUGGUACAACAUAUGAGGUAACUUCACAACACAAUGCAAGGAGCUAUCAUCCAGUGAAGGAAUCUCACAAGGAUAGAGAGUGGAAAAUGGAUCAAGAGAAGAUCCCAACAAUCAGCGACACUUAUAUAAGAUCAAUGGCCUCAUUAGAACUAAUGAACUUUAACGUUAGAUGUAUUUUGGAAAUUGUAUUUAUUUCUAGACUGAAUCUUGUUAGUACAAUGAAAGCUUUGCCCUUUCCUUUCUCCAUUUGGAAAUUGUAUCUGUAUUUGCAAAACCAUCUGUCUUGGAUCAGAGCAGUUUCAAGAUUAUCUGUAUUAGCUUUAGAUGGGUUGAUCUAUCAGGGAAUGUACUAGCAAGAGCACCAUAUAUAUAUAUAUAUAUAUAUAU